CAGCAGUAGCCGCGGUAAUACGUAGGUGGCAAGCGUUGUCCGGAAUUAUUGGGCGUAAAGCGCGCGCAGGUGGUUUAAUAAGUCUGAUGUGAAAGCCCACGGCUCAACCGUGGAGGGUCAUUGGAAACUGGGAAACUUGAGUGCAGAAGAGGAGAGUGGAAUUCCACGUGUAGCGGUGAAAUGCGUAGAGAUGUGGAGGAACACCAGUGGCGAAGGCGACUCUCUGGUCUGUAACUGACGCUGAGGAGCGAAAGCGUGGGGAGCGAACAGGAUUAGAUACCCGCGUAGUCCCUGUCUCUUAUAA
rnacentral:rRNA from 1 species